UAUUAAAGCAGAUAUCUUGAUUGAGAGUAAUAAGGAAACCAAAUAGAGAGAAUGUGAGUGAGAAACUGAGAAGCUAGGAGAGUCACUGCAAGUCAAUUUCAGAGAGAAAGUGAAGAAGCGAGAUAGAGAAAGAGUACAUAAGAAGUCCAUUCAUCUAAUGUGGAUGAGAAUCUUAUAUGAUAUUUGAAUCGGUUCUCAUCGAAGGCAGAGUAGGAAUAAUAGGUGUAGUAUGUUAUGAUUAUGGAGGGUGCUCCGAUUGUGGCCAAAGCUAUUAAGAUUCUGGUGGUUUCCAUGGGAAGAGUAAGGCCUGAUUUUCUCUGUCAUAUCCGGCUGAACUGAGAUUUACUUAUUUUUGUAGACAACUUCCAUUAAGCCAUGUUGUUGGUCUCAUUCUUUUGUGUACCUCGUGCCAAUUUCUUUGGAUGGUUCUCAAGUGAUGUAUAUACCACUGUAGUUUUCGUUAUCAGAUAUUGACUUCGUCCCAUCUUAAGAACUUUGUUGCAUGGUAACCUCCAGGAAUUCGGUGAUAGAAUUGGGAAAAUUAUGUCCCCAACAGUUCCUUGGAGGAAAAAUAUCUCUGAUAUGGAUUGUGAGGGCAAAUUUCUAGAGGACGGAAGGAGUGCUGAGAGAGCCCAAGUGUUCGAUAAAUUAAGAACUAACAACAAUGCAUCACAGUCUCCAUGAUUUGCAAGGAAUCCAAUAAAGUGGGGGAAUGUGCUAUUUGCUUUACUUUCAGGGACAGAGUCCCUGUCUCAUACCGGACAAGCACGGCUUGGAGAGGAACUGAGUAUGGAACAUCAGAUGAUGUUGGAAGAAGCCUAACAUCGCCUGCCCUGAUGUCAUCAGUUGAAGCUCUCUUGCCUGAGAAUACGUGAAGUGAAAGGGACAGAGUCCCUGUCUCAUACCGGACAAGCACCAUUUGGAGAGGAACUGAGUAUGGAACAUCAGAUGAAGUUGGAAGAAGCCUAACAUCGCCUGCCCUGAAGUCCUCAGUUGAAGCUCUCUUGCCUGAGGAUACCUGAAGUGAAACGGACAGAGUCCCUGUCUCAUACCGGACAAGCACGGCUUGGAGAGGAACUGAGUAUGGAACAUCAGAUGAAGUUGGAAGAAGCCUAACAUCGCCUGCCCUGAAGUCCUCAGUUGAAGCUCUCUUGCCUGAGGAUACCUGAAGUGAAAGGUAAGAAACACUUGACUUUCCAAAGGAACUCAAAGUACUCAGGUGUUGAUGGAGCUCGCAGGAGUUCCCAAACUUGAAUCAUGAUCCUUUGGGACCUGGUUCAGGCUCACUGCCUGUGGCUACUCCUGUGAUUGGAGAAUAGGCCCAUUGGUUCGUGGUAAAGGAUGUGAAUGUCUUGAAUUCUGUUUGCUCACCAAACCUGAUCUAUUUUGAGUAUACUAAGUGUCAUGGCAGGGGGUACACCAGCGUGCUUGGAUCGAUGAUGAUUUCCAAUAAAACAUUCCUUGGAAAGCUGAACAAAAUGAGUGAAAACUCAAUACCGCCACUGUCAUCGUGACUGAAGUCCAGCACCUGGGAUCACAAAUGUCACUGAGGGACUCACAUGGCCUCCAUUCACCUUGCGAGACUUGGAUCCAGUGAGAGAGCCUUCAGAAUGUUCUUUGCUUGCCUAAAUCACCAGAAAUCAUGGCCUAAAUCAAGGCUUCACCUUUUGCUCUAAUGAUAACAUGCUUUCCGGUUGAGGAGAUCAUUGUCAGUAUCUUGGAAGUUAGCCCUACCAACUCCAUCAGCAAUAAUGUAUAGUAGGUUGUGAGGCAAAUGUAAGUUUAGCGGGGGCAGCAUAGUUCAACAAUGUACACUGGAAUGUCAGGAAAUGUGUUUCUGUCCGUGUCUGAAUCCUUCGCAUGAAUGAUAACCCUUCUGUUUCAUAAAACAGAGAUACAUGAUGGGAAGGUUACAGGCGACAUGUGGAAUGAGGCAGUAGCAAUUCUCAGGAACUAUGGGAAUGUGGACUCUUCCUGUGUGAAAACAAAGCUCUGUUUUCUUGAAAGACUGAUUGUGGCCAUGGCAAUUAGGUUGGAAAAAGAGCCUUGGAAUUUAAAAGGUUGGCAUGUAGCCUUCUUGUUGGUGUAUUCUAGAAGUGCAUGCUUUCAAAUGUCCCAGGAUUCAUACCACCUUCAUGGAUGUAUGGAGAACACCAAUUUUAAUCCUAGUUUCUAUGUUUAUUGUUGGGACAUUUUUUGUCAGUCUAUCCGGGUAGUUUGCCACUAGUUCUUAUGGAUUGACUGUACCAAAAUGGUCUGGACAUACAUCUCCUCCUCUUCUAGGAUCUAAGAAUGUGAGCAUGCAAGUUUGUUUCUUACACAAACUCCUUCUAGGAAUUUUAUAUUUUGGUAUGGCCGUAGAAGAUAGGCAUGGAGUGUCUGCGGGAUUAUCAUUUCUUAUGGUCUUGAUGUGGCCUUGCUGAAGGUUAACUUGGCAUUCUGGCUAUGUGUUUUGGGGCUGAUGGUAGUCCUGAUAUCUUAGACAUUGUUCUUUUCUCCAAGCAAAUAUCAACAAGAAAUUGUGUUUCCAUUUGAUUAUGAAAGUGAGCUGUAUGCUUAGGAUCAUGCUGUUGAUAAUAACAUAUAUCUCAGUGCCUACAGGUUAUGCUUGUGUUUGGUGACCGUAGAGGGUUUGAACAGACACUUUCUCUGUGGUGAUCAUUGUCAGAUAUCACAGCAAUAGCACUCACAGGAAUUUAGUACCAGUCAAAACCUGAAUAGGAGAUAUAUGAGCAUGGACAGAGACAGAGAGAAAGAACAAUUGUUGAAGAGGCUAAGCAUGUGUGAGACAGAGGAAGUCAGUGAGAGACAGAA